rnacentral:rRNA from 1 species
UACGGAGGAUCCAAGCGUUAUCCGGAAUCAUUGGGUUUAAAGGGUCCGCAGGCGGAUUUAUAAGUUAGUGGUGAAAGCCCGUCGCUCAACGACGGAACUGCCAUUGAUACUGUAAGUCUUGAAUUCGAUCGAAGUGGGCGGAAUAUGACAUGUAGCGGUGAAAUGCUUAGAUAUGUCAUAGAACACCGAUAGCGAAGGCAGCUCACUAGGUCUGGAUUGACGCUCAGGGACGAAAGCGUGGGGAGCAAACAGG